rnacentral:rRNA from 1 species
GAUGAACGCUGGCGGCGUGCUUAACACAUGCAAGUCGAACGAAGCUGCUUAAAGGAAGUUUUCGGAUGGAAUUUAGGUAGACUUAGUGGCGGACGGGUGAGUAACGCGUGGAUAACCUGCCUUAUACAGGGGGAUAACGGAGAGAAAUUUCCGCUAACACCGCAUAAGACCACAGCACCGCAUGGUGCAGAGGUAAAAUAUUUAUAGGUAUAAGAUGGAUCCGCGUCCGAUUAGCUGGUUGGUGAGGUAGAGGCUCACCAAGGCGACGAUCGGUAGCCGGCCUGAGAGGGUGAACGGCCACAUUGGGACUGAGACACGGCCCAAACUCCUACGGGAGGCAGCAGUGGGGAAUAUUGGACAAUGGGGGAAACCCUGAUCCAGCGACGCCGCGUGAGUGAAGAAGUAUUUCGGUAUGUAAAGCUCUAUCAGC